GACGAACGCUGGCGGCGUGCCUAAUACAUGCAAGUCGAACGCAUUUUCUUUCACCGUAGCUUGCUACACCGAAAGAAAAUGAGUGGCGAACGGGUGAGUAACACGUGGGUAACCUGCCCAUCAGCGGGGGAUAACACUUGGAAACAGGUGCUAAUACCGCAUAAUUCCAUUUACCGCAUGGUAAAUGGAUGAAAGGCGCUUUUGCGUCACUGAUGGAUGGACCCGCGGUGCGUUAGCUAGUUGGUGGGGUAACGGCCUACCAAGGCUGCGAUGCAUAGCCGACCUGAGAGGGUGAUCGGCCACACUGGGACUGAGACACGGCCCAGACUCCUACGGGAGGCAGCAGUAGGGAAUCUUCGGCAAUGGACGCAAGUCUGACCGAGCAACGUCGCGUGAGUGAAGAAGGUUUUCGGAUUGUAAAACUCUGUUGUUAGAGAAGAACAAGGAUGAGAGUGGAAAGUUCAUCCCUUGACGGUAUCUAACCAGAAAGCCACGGCUAACUACGUG
rnacentral:rRNA from 1 species